rnacentral:rRNA from 1 species
UACGAAGGGGGCUAGCGUUGCUCGGAAUUACUGGGCGUAAAGAGCUCGUAGGUGGUUUGUCACGUUGUUCGUGAAAACUCACAGCUCAACUGUGGGCGUGCGGGCGAUACGGGCAGACUAGAGUACUGCAGGGGAGACUGGAAUUCCUGGUGUAGCGGUGGAAUGCGCAGAUAUCAGGAGGAACACCGGUGGCGAAGGCGGGUCUCUGGGCAGUAACUGACGCUGAGGAGCGAAAGCGUGGGGAGCAAACAGG